rnacentral:rRNA from 1 species
UAACGAAUAUUGGGCAAUGGGCGAAAGCCUGAUCCAGCAAUACCGCGUGUGUGAAGAAGGCCUUAGGGUUGUAAAGCACUUUUUAAGGGGAUGAGGAAGGACAGUACUCUUAGAAUAAGCCUCGGCUAACUACGUGCCAGCAGCCGCGGUAAAACGUAGGAGGCGAGCGUUAUCCGGAUUUACUGGGCGUAAAGCGUGUGUAGGCGGUUUGAUAAGUUGGAUGUGAAAGCUCCUGGCUUAACUGGGAGAGGUCGUUCAAAACUAUCAGACUUGAGAGUGGUAGAGGGAGGUGGAAUUCCGCAUGUAGUGGUGAAAUGCGUAGAUAUGCGGAGGAACACCAGUGGCGAAAGCGGCCUCCUGGCCCAUUUCUGACGCUCAGACACGAAAGCUAAGGUAGCAAACG